rnacentral:rRNA from 1 species
CCCAGACAGCCAGGAUGUUGGCUUAGAAGCAGCCAUCAUUUAAAGAAAGCGUAAUAGCUCACUGGUCGAGUCGGCCUGCGCGGAAGAUGUAACGGGGCUAAACCAUGCACCGAAGCUGCGGCAGCGACACUGUGUGUUGUUGGGUAGGGGAGCGUUCUGUAAGCCUGUGAAGGUGUGUCGUGAGGCAUGCUGGAGGUAUCAGAAGUGCGAAUGCUGACAUAAGUAACGAUAAAGCGGGUGAAAAGCCCGCUCGCCGGAAGACCAAGGGUUCCUGUCCAACGUUAAUCGGGGCAGGGUGAGUCGACCCCUAAGGCGAGGCCGAAAGGCGUAGUCGAUGGGAAACGGGUUAAUAUUCCCGUACUUGGUGUUACUGCGAAGGGGGGACGGAGAAGGCUAUGUUGGCCGGGCGACGGUUGUCCCGGUUUAAGCGUGUAGGUGUGUGUUCCAGGUAAAUCCGGUUCACUUUAACACUGAGGCGUGAUGACGAGGCACUACGGUGCUGAAGCAACAAAUGCCCUGCUUCCAGGAAAAGCCUCUAAGCAUCAGGUAACAUCAAAUCGUACCCCAAACCGACACAGGUGGUCAGGUAGAGAAUAC